ensembl:lncRNA
AUCUGGAGAGUCCAGAAAGUUGCCGAUGCUGACAUUGGGCUAGACAUCAGGAGGGACAGGACUUGAGCAGAGGGCAGAGAGGAAGGACAGAGCACCAGCAUCCCUGGCAGAGUGGGAAGUGUCCUAGUAUACUUGUCUACCCUGGAGCAAGAGCUUCAGCAGAGGGGAGGCCGUAGACACAGAAGGGUAGAGGAUGGGGAGGCUCAGAGCUGGAUCCUGCCUCUAAGCACUUCCAGUCAUGGAAGUACAGAAGACGUCUGCUCCAGGGAGGGUCCUGCUUGGAAAGACCAUGCUCUCAGGGCUGGAUCUGCUGAGGCCUGAAGCUGGUUAUGAGCAGAAACCAAAAGCAGGUUUGCUGAUGAGUCAGUCUCUGGGAGUACCCAACAAGAGGCAGGGGUAGAUUCCCCCUUCCCUGCCCACCAGGCUGGGCAAGCCCCUUCCUGUUCCCAUCACAAGCAGUUUGGGCCUCUCCUGCUUGCUUCCAACUCCAAGACCAUCAAGCAGAGCAGCCUGCUGGAUGGCUUCCUGCAUGGACACCCACCCUCAUGGCUGUGUCUAGACAGCAGCUGCUGCCCAUGUUGGGUGGAGGGUCCAGGAGGGACGCAGCAGGGGGCAGGGGACUGGCUAGAGCUAUGUCUGAAAUCAUGUUUAAAACCACAGGCAGGGCAAGCUGGUCGGAAAAUAUUCCUUCCUGGAGACAUUGCUGUUCUGCCUCCUUGAGUCAGCCAGCCACUUCCUUCCUGUGUGUAUCUUACACAUGCUAAGGGGGUGGGCUCGGCCCAAGUGUUUUUGCUUCUCUUAAGUUUUUUUUUUUUUUGUCUGUCGUGUUCCUUUGCUGUGUUGUAGGGCACGAGGGCGGGGCUGCUUCUAAAGGGGCUUUGUCACAGGGUUCUGGGAACAGCUCUGGCUUGGGCUCAUCUUUAAGGUGAAAAAUGUGAGAAAGAGGAGGAAAAGCCUGGCGUCACUUCCGGACCCUCACGUGAGGUGGUUUCAUCUCAAACAGGUCACAGGAGCCGGCUUCUGACUCUGAUUCUUUUACAGGAAGGAACCACAAACUAGGAGGCCUGUCCAGAGAGGAGAACCUGGGACUAUGGUACUUAGCCUGUGGCUGUAGGGUCCUCUCACACCAUGCCACGAGACAGUGUUGGGGCCAGAGAAGAACCUGAAGACUAAUUCCUUUUAAAACUACAUAUUUUCGGGGUCUUGGAGGGGGGAGCAUUCCAGAAGGAGCUGCCAAUCCAACCUGGGCCUGAAUCGGCAGAGCAGAGGCAUGGGAUUCUAACCCCGACCGGAAGCAGAACUCCAGCCAAGCCAGCACACAAUACCAUAAGGCCAGGGUGGAUGGAAAGCAGCCAAAGGCAGCAACCAGGAGCCUGCCAUGCCCAGCGGUUGGGCACUGUGAUGAUCUCCUUGUGAUGAAGAAGCAUGGCCCAACCCUGUGUCAUGGUGACCUAAAUGAAACUAGGAGACCCACACACAGACCUGGGGCUGCCUACCCCAGGGCAUCGAAGAGAAAAUACUCACCCUGUACCUUGCAGCACCAGCCAGAAGGCCACUGUUAGAGGGAGCAGAGGUAUGAUAUGGUGCCGUGUGUGUGUGUGUGUGUGUGUGUGUGUGUGUGUGUGUGUGUGUGUGUGAGAGAGAGAGAGAGAGAGAGAGAGAGAGAGAGAGAGAGAGAGAGAGAGAGACAGACAGACAGACAGACAGACAGAAUGUUCAGGUCCUGUGGACAGAGGCAAAUCUGAAGAGACUAGAGGAAGGAAGCAGGGCUGAGAUGGUGAGGGAGCUGACUUCUUGACCAGUGGCAACACACAGGAAAGAGAGCCCUGAACUUUGUCUGGGCAGCACAGCAGAGAUGAUCCUGUUGGAGAGAGCACAAGUGAGCCAACCCUGAGGAUGGGAGGGUGGGUCUGCCACAUAAUGGCAUGGUCUGGGGAGAGAUGCUGGCCCAUCAGUGCCUGGGGCACAUGGGAGAGCUGGCCCUGUGGUCAUAAGAGUGGGAGAGCUGUCCCUGCCCCCCACCAGCUGCAGCACUCGAAGGAGCAGAUCCUGCAUUUCACCAGGGCAGCACAAUAGAGCCAACCCUGUUAGUAUAAGUGUAGAUAAGCCAGUCUGGAAGAUGUGAGCAAGGAAGAGCUGUCACCAUUUCUCAUCAGUCUUGUAGUACCAUAGGUGAGGGAAAGGUGCCCCCUGCCCCUGUCAAUGCCUGAGGCAGGUGGGAGAGCUGGCCCUGAGAUCCCAAGAACAUGAGAGUUGUCCCUGCAUCUUCCUUGGGCAACACAGUAGAGCCAAACCUGUUGGUGGAGGUGUGGAUGAGCCAGCCUGGAAGCAGUGAACAGGGAGAGCUGUCCCCACUACUCAUCUGUUAUGAGACAGCAUGGGCAGGGGAGCCUCCCCUCCCCUGCCACACAUUAAUGCCUGGGGCAGUUGGGAGAGCUGGCCCCAUGGUCAUAAGAGUGGGAGAGCUGUCCCUGACCCCCACCAGCUGCAACACUUGGAAGAGCAUGUCCUACACCUCACCAGGGCAGCACAAUAGAGCCAACGUGGUUAGUGCCAGUGUGGGUGAACCUGACCCGAAACUGUGACCAUGGGAGAGCUGUCCCUACUUCCCAUCUGGCAGACCAACCCUACAGCUAGCUGCCCAGGCCCAGACCCAGGGUUCUGACUUGGCCGGCCCCCUCAUCUAUCCCAUGUAUGGUCAGCAUGUGAAGGGACCUGACCCACAAAUCCAAAACUGCAGGAUCUCCACAACACAGGGUGCAACUAGAGUCCAGGAAGAGUCCUAGUGGGGGCCCCAGCAUUCAAUGUGUAGUGGAGACCAGGAGCCCCAAACUGGACCAAUAACUCUUAGCAGUGAACACUUGCAAAUAGAGAUAUAUGGACCAAGGAUUACACAGCAUGACCUGUUGGUUCUCACUGCAGCUUCCAUGAUGAGACUUUUAAUUCCUUCCCUUCUUUUUAUUUUUCUCAUUUUAUUUUUUCUCUUGUAUUUUGUUUUAUUGGGGGUGUGCAGGGGUGGGGAGCAGAUGCAAAGGGACAGGGCAUGAAUGGGAUCAAGAUACAUGAUAUGAAAAACACA